GAUAAAGUUACUAAGGGCGUACGGGGGAUGCCUAGGUACAUGGAGUCGAUGAAGGACGUGGUAAGCUGCGAUAAGCCUCGGGUAAGUGCAAACUACUUUAAAUCCGAGGAUUUCCGAAUGGGGCAACCCGGCUCGGGUUAUACCGGGUCACUCCCAUCUGAAUACAUAGGAUGGGUAGAGGCAACGGAGUGAACUGACACAUCUAAGUAACUCCAGGAAUAGAAAUCAAAAGAGAUUCCCUAAGUAGCGGCGAGCGAACGGGGAAAAGCCUAAACCAUUAACGUGCCAAACCUGUAAGUAUUGCGCUAGUGGUGUUGUGGGAUCAUUUUGGAGCCGGUUACAGACGGUUCGACAAGUCAAAAAAUCAUUGAUUAAUAGAAUGGAAUGGAAAGUCCAGCCAUAGAAGGUGAUAGCCCUGUAUAUGAAAAUCAUAGAUCUUGUUGAAAAUGACACCCGAGUAACGCGGGACACGAGAAAUCUUGCGUGAAUUUGCCAGGACCAUCUGGUAAGGCUAAAUACUCCCAUGUAACCGAUAGCGAACUAGUACCGUGAGGGAAAGGUGAAAAGUACUCCUAACGGAGAGUGAAAUAGAACC
rnacentral:rRNA from 1 species